GCACUUUCCGGGUUUCUCUUCUCACUGGACCUUGUCGGACUUCUGCAGCGUCAGACGGAAAACAUGCAGGACAUGACCUUGUUGCUGGAUGUGAUGGUGCCUGGGAAGUUAUCCUUCAGUUCGCACUGCCCUUGUGGGACAUGAGGUGCUGAGGACCUCAGGCAAGCUGGGUUUGUGACUGCCCUGCCCCUCAGCACAGAUGCAACAACACAAUGUUUCUGCUGCAGCAAUGAACAGCCUCCCUGUCCCAGGCUUCAGCAGGGAAUCAUUUGGUCUUCAGGUCACUGUGAUGGCAAAAGUGUGAGACUCAUGACAGCUGUUUCCUCUGCAGCAAAGGACAGCCUCCUUAUCUAAGGCUUCAGCAGGGAUUCAGAAGCAGAGAAUCCUGAAACGGUCCUGGAAUCAUGAACUGAGGUUCUCAGGUGCCUUUCACUAUCUAUGCCGAGCCAUCCUUAACCAGCUGAGAGCACGACUGUCAGCACAGAUCUGCUGUCACCUGCUUUUGAAUAGAUGAACGGUCACUCUUGCAAAUGACAACUUUGUAAAGGCAUCUAUGUUUACUGCAUCAGAUUUGGCCUUGUCCUUUGUCUACUGUGUACUCUAUAAAUAAAAUAUCAACAGUUCUACAA